rnacentral:tRNA from 1 species
AAAGCUUUAGCUUAAUUAAGGCGUCUGUUUUGCACGCAGGAGAUGUAAGUUAAAGUCUUGCAAGUUUUA